rnacentral:rRNA from 1 species
GAUCAACGCUGGCGGCGUGCCUCAGACAUGCAAGUCGAACGAUUAAAGCUCUCUUCGGAGAGUGCAUAAAGUGGCGCACGGGUGAGUAACACGUAAGUAAUCUACCUUCGAGUGGGAAUAACAUCGGGAAACCGAUGCUAAUACCGCAUAAUGCAGCGGCAUCGCAAGAUGACAGUUGUUAAAGAUUUAUCGCUUGAAGAGGAGCUUGCGGCAGAUUAGCUAGUUGGUAAGGUAAUGGCUUACCAAGGCUACGAUCUGUAACCGGUCUAAGAGGACGGUCGGUCACACUGACACUGAAUAACGGGUCAGACUCCUACGGGAGGCAGCAGUCGGGAAUUUUGGGCAAUGGGCGAAAGCCCGACCCAGCAACGCCGCGUGAAGGAUGAAGUAUUU